rnacentral:lncRNA from 1 species
CUUAUUUAAAAGUGGUGGAAACGAUAAAAAAAAUCUUCGUGAUUCUGAUCUCAUUAGUUUGUUAACUUAAGAUCAAUCACAUAAUCUUUUCAAUGCUUUAGUUGUAGCAUUUAAUAAUUUAAAGGAUAAGGAUUAUGUCUUUAAGGUAUUAAUACCUGAAACAGUUAUAUACUUGUUUGCAAAAGUUAAGCAAAUUUCAAGAAUAAAAGCUGAAGUAAUACUAAGUGCCUAUAUCUCUAAAAGGAAUAAAGAUCGUAUUUGCAGCUCACCAGAAUCAAAUAGUGGGUCUG